rnacentral:rRNA from 1 species
UACGGAGGAUCCAAGCGUUAUCCGGAAUUACUGGGCGUAAAGAGCUCGUAGGCGGCCUGUCGCGUCGGAUGUGAAAGCCCGGGGCUUAACCCCGGGUCUGCAUUCGAUACGGGCAGGCUAGAGUGUGGUAGGGGAGAUCGGAAUUCCUGGUGUAGCGGUGAAAUGCGCAGAUAUCAGGAGGAACACCGGUGGCGAAGGCGGAUCUCUGGGCCAUUACUGACGCUGAGGAGCGAAAGCGUGGGGAGCGAACAGG